AUAUAUGUAUGUAUAUAUAUUUGUUCCAUUUUUGUAUUAGUUUUUAAAACUAUAUAGAUAUAAAAUAUAGCUAAACACUAGAGUUAAAAAGUGCUCUUAUGUGUUAAAAAACGAACGAAUGUUGUAACUAAAGAAAUUUGCAAUUCAAUAAAAAAAUAAUAUUUGCAACUUGUAGGGUUCACAAGGAAAUCUAUUUUUGCAUAGGAUUUUAAAUACUAUUGUGCUUUGUGAAAAAUCUAAUAACAGGUUAAUAGCUUCUAUGCAGGGCUGUCCCGAACAGAUCUUAAAAAGAGUGGGGGUUGGAGAAUAUCUUUUUUUACUGACUAGAAACUUAAAAAAACUGACUACAGUGUCUGAUUUGCCAUAUAAAAAAUCAUAGAGGGGGCCUUCAACACCUGUCUAUGCCCCCACCACUAUCAGGAUGCCUAUGCUACUAUGACUAUGAUUUUAAUGGUCAUUAUAUUAUUAAGAUUAUUAACCCCAGCCACUUUUAUAAAACAAAAGUAACAAUUAUUACUUAUGCACAACAGUAUUUAAAAAAAAAUUAAUUAUGUUUCAUAAAUCUGGGUAGGGAAUCCUACGUCAUGAAAGCUUAAAAUUGGCUACCCAGUAGUAUUUUUGCUGAAAUAACCAUUUUAUUUAGAAGAAUUUUCAGAUCUUGCAUCAUUGCAACUGUGAAAGAUUUUAUACAGGCAUGUGUAUUCUCAAUAGUUCUGAGAAAAGUCUCAGUUAAAAUGUCAGAAGUUGGACAAAGUUCAAAAGAAAAUAACUAUGAAGAAGAUUAUUCUUGUGAUUUUGUCAAAAGAAAAGUAGAUGUUGG